rnacentral:rRNA from 1 species
AAAGCGUGCGUAGGUGGUUGUUUAAGUCUGUUGUGAAAGCCCUGGGCUCAACCUGGGAAUUGCAGUGGAUACUGGGCAACUAGAGUGUGGUAGAGGGUAGUGGAAUUCCCGGUGUAGCAGUGAAAUGCGUAGAGAUCGGGAGGAACAUCCAUGGCGAAGGCAGCUACCUGGACCAACACUGACACUGAGGCACGAAAGCGUGGGGAGCAAACAGGAUUAGAUACCCCAGU